rnacentral:rRNA from 1 species
CCUACGGGAGGCUGCAGUGGGGAAUAUUGGGCAAUGGAGGAAACUCUGACCCAGCAACGCCGCGUGAAUGAUGAAGGUCUUCGGAUUGUACAGUUCUUUUCUAAGGGAAGUAGAAAGUGACGGUACCUUAGGAAUAAGCCUCGGCUAACUACGUGCCAGCAGCCGCGGUAAUACGUAGGAGGCGAGCGUUAUCCGGAAUGACUGGGCGUAAAGGGUGCGUAGGUGGGUUGGCAAGUUAGUAGCGUAACUCCAAGGCUCAACCUUGGAACUACUACUAAAACUGUUGGACUUGAGUGCAGGAGGGGCAACCGGAAUGUCUGGUGUAGCGGUGGAAUGCGUAGAUAUUAGGAGGAACACCGAUUGCGAAGGCAGCUCACUGGACUGCAACGGACACUGAGGCUCGAAAGUGUGGGUAUCAAACAGGAUUAGAUACCCCGGUAGUC